CGGCGCCGCACCGAACGAGGCCUCAUCCAUCUUCUUCUCCGCUUGGCCGGUGUGGUGCCUCUUCCAGAUACGAUCCUGCCCGUAUAAUUUCUCUACAAAAUCCGUUUGGAGGAGCUGCGAGGGCGACCUCCUCCUUCCGAAGCUGCUGCCUACCGCGGUAUCUUCCCCGCCCCCAAAUCGCCCCACACCAUGACGUACUUCACCAAGCCGAGCUCCUCCUUGACGGCGGCCAUGGAUGUGGUCGAUUAAUCCCCUCUGCAGUUCCUCUCUGUCUUGGUCGUCCUCGAGGUGGUCAGGUCGUUCAUCCCUGCUGCAGUUCCUCGCGGUAGCUGGUCGACCACGUCAACCUCUCCUGCGUGAUCUUCGGCAGGUGCAGCGCCGGCGCAAAUCUCGCGCAUGGCAGAUGGCAUCGCGGACAUCCAGAGGUUUCAUGAACCUUACCUGGAGGUUCAUCUUCCCAGCCUCGCUGGGCCGGAUGACCCGCUCGUGGACCUGUUCGGCAAAGAAGAUGCACGUUGCUCUGGCCAAAAUCCUGUGCGCUGGGUGCUGCCUUGUGGAGCAGAGUCACGCCUUCAGAUGCCAAUCCCCAUAUCCUACUCUUCCCAGUGCUAUGUCUCCUCUUGCUGUUCGUCGGUAAGAUCGAUGAUGGAUUCGGGGGAUCUUGGACAGCGAUGACCUGCGACUGAUGACAAGAAGCAGUUGGGUCGUUCUCGGCGCCACCGUUCGGUGCGGACGCGAUUACAUGUCACUGCUAUAAUUUCAGGCUGUUUGCUCUUCUAAAUUAUGUGCGAUUCACCUUUUUUUUAAUGCUGAUGCUAUGCUUACAUGUCACUGCUACUGCUAUAUUUUCAGGUUCUCUGCUCUUCUUCAUGAUUCAUGUAUUACUAGGUCUUUUGGAAGAUUGAAAGAAACAUGGAGUUGCUCUUAUGGUACAAUACUACAGCUUGCUCUACUUGGUGGUGAAGGCUAAAGCGAUGACAUGUAUGAUUCGUGUUAUUUCAAUUUCAGUGGAUGCUGAAUAUUCUCACUUAAUGCAGGUUAGGGAAAGUGGGACAUACAGCUGUCGCUACUAAAUGACGUAUCGCCUCGACGAUUCCAAUGGAAGGUCUUCGUGCGUGUUUCUUGGAUCUGGGAAUUCAACGAUCUGCAAACAAGACAGAAUGUACAUGAACUAUACUACAUUGUUGUACACCAUGAGGAUGGCUGGCCUUCAAGUGCAGGUGCAAACUUACCAGUAUGGUGUGAGUGUUUGUUCUCUUGGCCUCUUGCGAUAUUUGGUGGAUGCAUACUCUGUACUCAAUUGGUUAAAGUUUUCUUUGUUUGAUACUUUGUUCCAGGAUGCACUCUCUCAUGAAGGAAUCAAAUUUCAUAUGCUCAAGGUUUUGGUGGCUAGAAAAUCUAGGCGUUUUCUUCUGAAUUGGUGUUGCUUAUCUGAAAUGUUGCAUUCCCAGAUCGAGCAAUUGCAGGAUCAGGGCCAUAUUCAGGUUCUUAACUGAAGCCUCCUGCGGUUGAUGGUCCCAGAUCCUCAAGCCUCAACACUUGGACUAUCUGUAAGAGAUGGUUCAUUCCCAGGCACGGUGGACUCAGUAUGGAUAAAAUACUUACACUCUACUUCAUGUACUCUUCUAUCCGAUGUGCUGAGAACUACCUGUUUUAGUUCUAAUCUUUGUGAUGUGUGUGUGUGUAUGUCCCUGCACUAAAUAAGUAUAUUGUAAGUUGCGCUUAACUAGCCUACUGCCUUCACAGUAUUUGUUCUUCAGUUUUCAGUUACCAAUCGACCACUGAUGGGUAAUUUUACUGAAAUGAACGAACUGAAAGUGUUUAGGGUGGAAUAACUAUUUUCUUCU